rnacentral:rRNA from 1 species
GACGAACGCUGGCGGCGUGCCUAAUACAUGCAAGUUGAGCGAUGAAGAUUGGUGCUUGCACCAAUUUGAAGAGCAGCGAACGGGUGAGUAACGCGUGGGGAAUCUGCCUUUGAGCGGGGGACAACAUUUGGAAACGAAUGCUAAUACCGCAUAACAACUUUAAACAUAAGUUUUAAGUUUGAAAGAUGCAAUUGCAUCACUCAAAGAUGAUCCCGCGUUGUAUUAGCUAGUUGGUGAGGUAAAGGCUCACCAAGGCGAUGAUACAUAGCCGACCUGAGAGGGUGAUCGGCCACAUUGGGACUGAGAAACGGCCCAAACUCCUACGGGAGGCAGCAGUAGGGAAUCUUCGGCAAUGGACGAAAGUCUGACCGAGCAACGCCGCGUGAGUGAAGAAGGUUUUCGGAUCGUAAAACUCUGUUGGUAGAGAAGAACGUUGGUGAGAGUGGAAAGCUCAUCAAGUGACGGUAACUACCCAGAAAGGGACGGCUAACUACGUG